rnacentral:ncRNA from 1 species
UCCCAGCUAAUUCCAGCAAUGGAAUUAUAGAAUGGCUUGGAACUACACGCUCUACUGCUAUGGCAACUUGUUGCUAUAAAAUUCAACCACAACAGCUAACGCCUGAAGUGGUGGUGACGUAAAAAGUGGUAGGGCUACUUGGA